UACGUAGGUGGCAAGCGUUAUCCGGAUUUAUUGGGCGUAAAGGGAACGCAGGCGGUCUUUUAAGUCUGAUGUGAAAGCCUUCGGCUUAACCGGAGUAGUGCAUUGGAAACUGGGAGACUUGAGUGCAGAAGAGGAGAGUGGAACUCCAUGUGUAGCGGUGAAAUGCGUAGAUAUAUGGAAGAACACCAGUGGCGAAAACGGCUCUCUGGUCUGUAACUGACGCUGAGGUUCGAAAGCGUGGGUAGCAAACAGG
rnacentral:rRNA from 1 species